UUGUAGCCUGCUAUGGUAUAACUUAGUGGCAGACGGGUGAGUAAUGUAUAGGAAUCUACCUAGUAGUACGGAAUAAUUGUUGGAAACGGCAACUAAUACCGUAUACGCCCUACGGGGGAAAAAUUUAUUGCUAUUAGAUGAGCCUAUAUUAGAUUAGCUAGUUGGUGGAGUAAUAGCCUACCAAGGCAAUGAUCUAUAGCUGAUCUGAGAGGAUGAUCAGCCACACUGGAACUGAGAUACGGUCCAGACUCCUACGGGAGGCAGCAGUGGGGAAUAUUGGACAAUGGGCGAAAGCCUGAUCCAGCCAUGCCGCAUGAGUGAAGAAGGCCUUUGGGUUGUAAAGCUCUUUUAGUGAGGAAGAUAAUGACGGUACUCACAGAAGAAGUCCUGGCUAACUCCGUGCCAGCAGCCGCGGUAAUACGGAGAGGGCUAGCGUUAUUCGGAAUUAUUGGGCGUAAAGGGCGCGUAGGCGGAUUAGUAAGUUAAAAGUGAAAUCCCAAGGCUCAACCUUGGAAUUGCUUUUAAAACUGCUAAUCUAGAGAUUGAAAGAGGAUAGAGGAAUUCCUAGUGUAGAGGUGAAAUUCGUAAAUAUUAGGAGGAACACCAGUGGCGAAGGCGUCUAUCUGGUUCAAAUCUGACGCUGAGGCGCGAAGGCGUGGGGAGCAAACAGGAUUAGAUACCCUGGUAGUCCACGCUGUAAACGAUGAAUGUUAAAUAUGGGAAGUUUUACUUUCUGUAUUACAGCUAACGCGUUAAACAUUCCGCCUGGGGACUACGGUCGCAAGAUUAAAACUCAAAGGAAUUGACGGGGACCCGCACAAGCGGUGGAGCAUGUGGUUUAAUUCGAUGCAACGCGAAAAACCUUACCACUCCUUGACAUG
rnacentral:rRNA from 1 species